AUGGACCACGCCUGCACUCCGGCUCCUGUGCGCUGUCCGUAACCACAUGACGAUUCCUCGCUACGUGUUGUUACCC
rnacentral:sRNA from 1 species